rnacentral:lncRNA from 1 species
GCCAAUUCCCAGAAAGAGUCCACUCACAUAGUGGGGGAGGGGGAGGAUGAGGUACACAUAGACACACAUUAUAAAGAAGCCCAACGUCUUCACUGGCAAUUCCGGGUGCUGCACGGCCGAGUCCACCUCGUCCUCACUGUCAAGGACCACACCAUCUUCCGCGAGCACCUCUGGCUUGAGAGGAAUAUCUGAGAGCUUAUCAACUUUACUCUCCC